UACGGAGGAUGCGAGCGCUAUCCGGAUUUAUUGGGUUUAAAGGGUGCGUAGGCGGACGCUUAAGUCAGCGGUAAAAUUGCGGGGCUCAACCUCGUCGAGCCGUUGAAACUGGGUGCCUUGAGUGGGCGAGAAGUACGCGGAAUGCGUGGUGUAGCGGUGAAAUGCAUAGAUAUCACGCAGAACUCCGAUUGCGAAGGCAGCGUACCGGCGCCCAACUGACGCUGAAGCACGAAGGCGUGGGUAUCGAACAGG
rnacentral:rRNA from 1 species